CAUUGUUAAGGGGGACUGAUGCGGUAAGAACAGCUCGCCAAUUUGUCAUCUAAAUAGAAUAAAGUCUGAUUCUAUUUGGUUUAAACAUAGGAGCUUUAUGCUGUCUAGGUGGCUUUUCAAGUACAGAAGUUUAUGGUAUUUGUGGAGGUAGUUCUCACUCACAGAAUUAAUAUUUGGCAAAAAGUAGAUAACGUGAUAUAAUCACUCUUCUGGCCUCAAAUUUAUCUAGAGUGUGAGGGUAGAACUGAAUAAAAAAUUGCUGGCUGUGGUACAUUGAACUUGGCACAUUACUGUGUUUAAACGUAAUGUGGGAUCAGUAAUAAAACCCUGAUCUGUGUUAACAUGCUCAGAAACGUUUAAAUAUUUCAGGGGCUUUACGUAAACAACAGGCAUGUUGGCAUAUGAAGGAAUUUUCCUUUCUCUCUUUUGUAGAUGAGAUGUCGCCAACCUUUAUAUAAAUAUUUUAAUGUUGGAUCUUCUUGAACCGUUGAGACUUUUUUUUUCCCCCAAGUAACAAUUUUAUUUUAGUCUACAGCACUAUUUUUUACAUACAGUUUAGUGGUUUAGACAGUGCUGCUUUUUUUUUUUUUUAAUUUAUUGUAAUGGGGUCUGCGCAAAAUGGGAGGUGAAGGGUGGGGAACAUGCAGGGGACACAGGAACACGGUGACAUGGCCAGGGCCACAGCUUCUGUUGUGGGGGAGAGGGAUGAAAAGAAAAGGCGAGGGCUGGAGCUGGGAGAUCGGAAGACCA